rnacentral:rRNA from 1 species
UGGGGAAUAUUGCACAAUGGGCGCAAGCCUGAUGCAGCCAUGCCGCGUGUAUGAAGAAGGCCUUCGGGUUGUAAAGUACUUUCAGCGGGGAGGAAGGGAGUAAAGUUAAUACCUUUGCCCAUUGACGUUACCCGCAGAAGAAGCACCGGCUAACUCCGUGCCAGCAGCCGCGGUAAUACGGAGGGUGCAAGCGUUAAUCGGAAUUACUGGGCGUAAAGCGCCCGCAGGCGGUUUGUUAAGUCAGAUGUGAAAUCCCCGGGCUCAACCUGGGAACUGCAUCUGAUACUGGCAAGCUUGAGUCUCGUAGAGGGGGGUAGAAUUCCAGGUGUAGCGGUGAAAUGCGUAGAGAUCUGGAGGAAUACCGGUGGCGAAGGCGGCCCCCUGGACGAAGACUGACGCUCAGGUGCGAAAGCGUGGGGAGCAAACAGG